rnacentral:tRNA from 1 species
UCCCUGGUGGUUCAGUGGUUAAGACUCUGCACUUCCAAUGCAGGGGACGCAGCUUUGAUCCCUGGUUGGGGAA